rnacentral:rRNA from 3 species
UAAAAGGUGCCUGUACCGCAAACCGACACAGGUAGGCGAGGAGAGAAUCCUAAGGUGUGCGAGAGAACUCUGGUUAAGGAACUCGGCAAAAUGACCCCGUAACUUCGGGAGAAGGGGUGCUUUCUUAACGGAAAGCCGCAGUGAAUAGGCCCAAGCGACUGUUUAGCAAAAACACAGCUCUCUGCGAAGCCGUAAGGCGAAGUAUAGGGGGUGACACCUGCCCGGUGCUGGAAGGUUAAGGAGAGGGGUUAGCGUAAGCGAAGCUCUGAACUGAAGCCCCAGUAAACGGCGGCCGUAACUAUAACGGUCCUAAGGUAGCGAAAUUCCUUGUCGGGUAAGUUCCGACCCGCACGAAAGGUGUAACGAUUUGGGCACUGUCUCAACCAGAGACUCGGUGAAAUUAUAGUACCUGUGAAGAUGCAGGUUACCCGCGACAGGACGGAAAGACCCCGUGGAGCUUUACUGUAGCCUGAUAUUGAAUUUUGGUACAGUUUGUACAGGAUAGGCGGGAGCCAUUGAAACCGGAGCGCUAGCUUCGGUGGAGGCGCUGGUGGGAUACCGCCCUGACUGUAUUGAAAUUCUAACCUACGGGUCUUAUCGACCCGGGAGACAGUGUCAGGUGGGCAGUUUGACUGGGGCGGUCGCCUCCUAAAGUGUAACGGAGGCGCCCAAAGGUUCCCUCAGAAUGGUUGGAAAUCAUUCGUAGAGUGCAAAGGCAUAAGGGAGCUUGACUGCGAGACCUACAAGUCGAGCAGGGACGAAAGUCGGGCUUAGUGAUCCGGUGGUUCCGCAUGGAAGGGCCAUCGCUCAACGGAUAAAAGCUACCCCGGGGAUAACAGGCUUAUCUCCCCCAAGAGUCCACAUCGACGGGGAGGUUUGGCACCUCGAUGUCGGCUCAUCGCAUCCUGGGGCUGUAGUCGGUCCCAAGGGUUGGGCUGUUCGCCCAUUAAAGCGGUACGCGAGCUGGGUUCAGAACGUCGUGAGACAGUUCGGUCCCUAUCCGUCGUGGGCGUAGGAAAUUUGAGAGGAGCUGUCCUUAGUACGAGAGGACCGGGAUGGACGCACCGCUGGUGUACCAGUUGUUCUGCCAAGGGCAUAGCUGGGUAGCUAUGUGCGGAAGGGAUAAGUGCUGAAAGCAUCUAAGCAUGAAGCCCCCCUCAAGAUGAGAUUUCCCAUAGCGUAAGCUAGUAAGAUCCCUGAAAGAUGAUCAGGUUGAUAGGUUCGAGGUGGAAGCAUGGUGACAUGUGGAGCUGACGAAUACUAAUAGAUCGAGGACUUAACCAU